GUUUGACCUCAAAUCAGGUAGGGUUACCCGC
rnacentral:rRNA from 1 species